UUCGGUGGUCACAGCGAGAGGGAAACGCCCGGUCACAUUCCGAACCCGGAAGCUAAGCCUUUCAGCGCCGAUGGUACUGCAGAGGGGACUCUGUGGGAGAGUAGGACGCCGCCGAAU
rnacentral:rRNA from 1 species